rnacentral:rRNA from 1 species
AGUGAACGCUGGCGGUAGGCCUAACACAUGCAAGUCGAACGGCAGCACAGUAAGAGCUUGCUCUUACGGGUGGCGAGUGGCGGACGGGUGAGGAAUACAUCGGAAUCUACUUUUUCGUGGGGGAUAACGUAGGGAAACUUACGCUAAUACCGCAUACGACCUACGGGUGAAAGCAGGGGAUCUUCGGACCUUGCGCGAUUGAAUGAGCCGAUGUCGGAUUAGCUGGUUGGCGGGGUAAAGGCCCACCAAGGCGACGAUCCGUAGCUGGUCUGAGAGGAUGGUCGGCCACACUGGAACUGAGACACGGUCCAGACUCCUACGGGAGGCAGCAGUGGGGAAUAUUGGACAAUGGGCGGAAGCCUGAUCCAGCCAUACCGCGUGGGUGAAGGAGGCCUUCGGGUUGUAAAGCCCUUUUGUUGGGAAAGAAAAGCAGCAGGUUAAUACCCCGCUGUUCUGACGGUACCCAAAGAAUAAGCACCGGCUAACUUCGUG